rnacentral:sRNA from 1 species
CUGGUCCUAUGAUGGUGAAGGACAGAAAAGUCCGUCGUUUGAAAUUCCAUUACGUUGUUUAGCGUUUGAAAGCGGUAGUAUCGUCCUGAAGUUUUAAGCUCCGUAUUUUUUUGAUCUUUUUAGGCCUUCGGGCAAAAUGUUUAAUAUUUAGGAUUUAGUACUAUGUCACAAACUGUAACAGGCACCGUAAAGUGGUUCAAUGAAGCAAAAGGCUUUGGUUUUAUCGCACAAGAAAACGGCCCUGACGUAUUCGCUCACUUCAGCGCUAUUGAAGGCAACGGUUUCCGUACGCUUGCAGAAGGCCAAAAAGUUGAGUUCUCUAUUACUACAGGUCAAAAAGGCCCACAAGCUGAAAGCAUCAAAGUGCUUUAAUGCUUGAAAGAGUAGAAUUCGUAUAAAAGAGCAGGCAUUUUGCCUGCUUUUUUCAU